rnacentral:lncRNA from 1 species
AAUUUUGCUUCCACACUGUUGAGCAAGAGAUUGUGAUGCAAACCACACUUUGUAGUAGUCGAAGGUUUGGAUGAACCAUAUAAAUUGAAUUUGCUUCGAACAGUCUUGAUCAAGAGUGUGUGAAGCUUUCUGCGAGUUGUAGUUGCCCUUCAUUGAUGAAGCUUUUGUUGGCACCAUAAAUUGGUUUUGCUUCACACUAUCUUGAUCAAGAAUGUGUGAAACUUUUGAGAAUUGUGGUUGAACUCCUUUGAUGAGGCUUUUGUUGGCACUAUAAAUUGGUUUUGCUUCACACUGUCUUGAACAAGUGUGUGAAGCUUUUGAGAAUUGUGGUUGCCCUCCAUUGAUGAAGCUCCUGUUGGCACCAUAAAUUGGUUUUGCUUCACACUGUCUUCAUCAAAAGUGUGUGAAGCUUUUGAGAAUUGUGAUUGCCCUCUAUUGAUGAAGCUCUUGUUGGCACCAUAAAUUGGUUUUACUUCACACUGUCUUCAUCAAGAGUGUGUGAAGCUUUUGAGAAUUAUGGUUGCCCUCCAUUAGCUCUUGUUGCCACCAUAAAUUGGUUUUGCUUCACACUGUCUCGAUCAAGAGUGUGUGAAGCUUUUGAGAAUUGUGGUUAUCCUCUAUUGAUGAAGCUCUUGUUGGCACCAUAAAUUAAUUUUGCUUCACACUGUCUUCAUCAAGAGUGUGUGAAGCUUUUGAGAAUUGUGGUUGUCCUCUAUUGAUGAAGCUCUCUUGUUGGCACCAUAAAUUGGUUUUGCUUCACAUUGUCUUCAUCAAGAGUGUGUGAAGCUUUUGAGAAUUAUGGUUGCCCUCUAUUGAUAAAGCUCUUGUUAGCACCAUAAAUUGGUUUUGCUUCACACUGUCUUCAUCAAGAAUGUGUGAAGCUUUUGAGAAUUGUGGUUGCCCUUUAUUGAUGAAGCUCUUGUUGGCACCAUAAAUUGGUUUUGCUUCACACUGUCUUGAUCAAGAGUGUGUGAAGCUUUUGAGAAUUGGGGUUGCCCUCCUUUGAUGAAGCUCUUGUUGGCACCAUAAAUUGGCUUUGCUUCACACUGUCUUGAUCAAGAGUGUGUAAAGCUUUUGAGAAUUGUGGUUGCCUUCCAUUGAUGAAGCUCUUGUUGGCACCAUAAAUUGGUUUUGCUUCACACUGUUUUGAUCA